CACAAAAACAGAACACAUUGGCAAGAAAGCUCUACUGGAAUCUUUAUAAUCAAUAAAUCUGUUGUUUGCUGAAGGAUUAUAUCCCAAAAUUUGCAUGUUAAGCAGGACAUACUUGGGGAUGAAUGAAUCCUUACCAGGAAGCAUAUAAGAACUCUCUGACUGAAGCAAGGAUUGUUUGAUCUUUUCCCAAGAGCAUAUGUUUACAAUGAAGAAAGGAGGAGAGCACGCUCGAUACUCCAGGCUGAUGCACCUAUUUCUGGAGCCCAGAAUUCUGAAAUGAGGAUCACUGGACUGAACUGAAGAAUGGAGAGGAAUGGUGUGGCUCACAGCCAAGAAGAGGAGCGAAGGAAUAAGCUGUUGGAGGGCACGAUGAAAGUGAAGAUGGAAGAAGAGAAGACGUGAAAUGAAAGGAGAGGAGUCGGUGGUUUAAUAAUGAUAAAAUAAUUUUUAAAAAAAUGAUUGCUAACAUUUAAUGAUUGCUCAUCUUGGGCCAGAACUGAUACCUGUGUUACCAUGUUGAAUUCUCACAAUAACAUCAUCAAUUGUAUUAUUAUCUUCACUUUAUACAUGAGAAAACCAAAAGUUAGAUAACUUAAGUAACUUGAAGAGGAUUUUAAUCCUCUUGGUAACGGAAGAGAAGAGAUUCAGGGACGGGCUGUUGAGCAGCAAAGCCCAUGACCUACUCCAAUGAGCACACUGACUUUGAGAAGGGCUGAGGCGCCCUUUUGUAACACGUGUUUACACGGUUUAAUUUACAUCUCUGAAUCACUCCAAUUCUUUGAGAUCUAUUAGUAAAAACAGAUACAUAUUUGCUUGUAUGUAAUUCUUAUUAAAUCCAAGUAUACUACUUUAUUCAUUUCAAGUCAUACGAAAGCUUGCUGGGGAAAGUACACACCUGUUAAUUGUUACUAACACCCUCAGACAUAUUUUAUUGGUCAGGCGAUAGUGCUGUAGAAGAAUUUUAGUUCUUGCAGCUGCACAAAGCUGCACAUUUUGAAUGCCUGAAAUUUGACCUAAAUGGUAUUGACAUUACAGUGACUGUGAGUGAUGGAAAAGGAAACAAAAAAUCUUGGAUUUUUUUCCUCUACAGAGACCUCUUCUCCUCCAAUUAAUAACAACAACAGACUUAGAAAAUAUCUCUUAAACUACAGACCGCAGCCAGCAGUGCAGCUGCGUAGUUCCAAGAGGCCCACAGAGAUUCCUGCCUUUCAGGCUAAAUCCUUCCACUCAUAAAAAUCCUCUUUUUGUUUUGUUAAAGUGUUCUCUAUGCUUGUUUUCUUAUUUUAUUUUAUUUCAUUUCAUUAAGUUUAAGUAUCAGUGGAAAAUAUCUCCAGUACUUGACAUGGAUAACUUUCAGAAUCUACGUUUCUUGCACCGUGAUUUAAAAGAAACAGAAAGCGGAAAACAUAAUUGAAUCCAGUAAAUGUAUAUUGACAAGUACGUUAAUGAGUAAAGUCGAAGUUCCUAGGGAGAUUCCAAGGUAAUUGAAGCAUGGUCUCUGUCCUCAGAAGUGAUAUGGUUUAAAAUACACGGACAAAGAGAACAGAUUAGUAGUUUCCAGAGGGAAAGAGGGUUGGGCAAAAGAGCUAAAGGGGCACAUAUGUAUGGUGAUGGAUAAAAAUUAGACUAAUGGGGCUGAGCACAAUGAAGUGUCUUCAGAAAUUGAUAAACAAUAAUGUACACCGAAAUUACACAAUGUUAUAAACCAUUAUAAUCCCAAUAAAAUUACUUGGAAAAAAACCUGAAGUAAUAUGGUUUAGAGAGACAGAUAGGCAUAGAGAGCAAUGAUUAUAAAGUGAAUCAAGAGGUUACUUUAUUUUGAAAGGUUUUUGAAAAAUGUUUUGGUAAUACAGAUGGAGAUAUUACACACGGCUAGUGGAUCGGAACAGUGAUGGAGGCGGCAAGGCUAAGUAAGAUUGUGAUAGAUGGAUAUGAGAAUAAAAAACAAUCCAGGUAGAUUGUGUCUCAGUGUCACAGGCAGCAAGGCAAGAAAGUGAAUUUUCACCAAGUAAUAGGGACUGCUCUGGGUAGUAGCCCAAACUGUAUGCAGAAAAAUGCGA
rnacentral:lncRNA from 1 species